UACGUAGGCAGCAAGCGUUGUUCGGAGUUACUGGGCGUAAAGGGCGCGUAGGUGGCGGCCCAAGUCCAUGGUGAAAGCUCGUCGCUCAACGACGAGUCGGCCACGGAUACUGGGUUGCUCGAGCACUGUAGAGGCAGAUGGAAUUCCGGGUGUAGCGGUGGAAUGCGUAGAGAUCCGGAAGAACACCGGUGGCGAAGGCGGUCUGCUGGGCAGUUGCUGACACUGAGGCGCGACAGCGUGGGGAGCAAACAGG
rnacentral:rRNA from 1 species